AGAAGUUCAUCUCUCUCUGAAAACUUAGUACAAGGAUAGCCAAUAAGUAGCCCUCCAGAUGUUGCUAUAGUACAAAUCUCAUUGUCUCUGGGGAUGAUGGGACUUGGAGGGCACCCCACUGGCUACCCCAACUUUAGAGAAAUCAUUGGUACAACAUAUAACACUCUUAAAAGUGAAAUCUACAUCUCAAGCCAUCAGUAGUCUACCAGUAUCACUUCAGAGGCAUCUGUGCAAGGUGGGCUAUAAUUAUGAACCAGAAUGGGUUUACUUUUCAGAUUUCAGAAGCUCAGGAGAGAUUUGUUACUAGAGUCUGGGAUUGAAGUAGGAUUUUCACUAAUGGAGUGUAGAAUUCGCUCUCCCUCACCCUUUGCUCAUGGUUAAAAUCAUUCUGGCUCCUUCUACCACCAUCCACGUUCCUAUGAGCCAAAAAUGCAUGAACUUUAUGCUAAUAGCUCAACUCUGGCUCCAAUUUGGGACAAAGUUCUUGCAAGUCUGAGAUGAAACACAUGCCUUUCCGUCAGGCCGGUAAUAAGAGGCAGAGAGGUCGGAGAUGUCCCAGGGCAAUCGGAAACUAUUUGGAGUGAGAGGAAGGAAACAAGGCUGUGAUGUCCAAUUCUAGAUGAUAGGACAGAGCCAUACUUCCAACUAUCCCAGUUGUCAUUUCAAGCUAAUAUGGAACCAACAUGUUAUCUUGAUGAGGCCUAGUCAGGUUUGGUUUGGUUUUGAACUCAAAUUAGAGAAAGCAAGAACUUUUAUUGUAAAAGUAUUGUUGUGUUAGUAAGAGAAUCCCAUUCCAGUGCUUUAUCCAGAAAACUUCUCCUCUGAAGCCUCCUUUCAUGAGCCCAUACAAAAGUCCGAAUAACCUGGGGCUGAACAGUCUAACUUUAGGGUCAUUCAGUUGUUUAUUCUCCAUUCUGUCUGCCAAGCAAUGAGGAGAAUUUCACCUCACACCUACUCAUUCGUGUAGAAGGUGUGGUAAAACAGGCAUUCAUAUAAGCUCAAAGAUUCUGCAGAAUCACAGGGAAACUUUGAUUUGCCACGUGGUAAAGAGCAGACAAUAUUUUUUUAAGAUGCACCAAGAUCCACCCAGUCAGUUGCUUUGACUCUUCCAAAACAUGGUUGUGUUUAGCUCAGAGAUGAGGAAGCUACGGUCCUCCAAAUAUGGUUGGCCUUCAACUCCCAUCAUCUCUUACUAUUGGCAAUGCUGGUUAGGACUGAUGGGGAGCGGGGGAGUCUGAUAACUGGAGUGCCGCAGGUUCCCAGUCCCUGGUUUAAAAGAUGACUGUUCUUCAAGAAAGCAAUGAAAUGUUCUGGGCUCAUGAAAGCCUCAUUAGAGCAGCACUCAUUUCCAAGGCUCCUUGUUGGCCAGGGACAAGCUCACGUGUGUUUCCUCAAAUGAAAGCAGCUUCUUUCAUGAUUAUUUUUAAAGAAAGAUAUUGCUUCCUCCCAAAGGCAGAACCUGUUACUUGGCAAGUGUUCAGACAGUCUGGAUCUUUUGGAGGAAGAGACAUCAGUUCCUGUAAUACGAAAGGAUUUUCCUCUCAACUUGUAAUUGUCUUCUUGGAGAAGUCCUCUCCUCUUCUAAGUCAUCAUUGGGAAGAGAGCCAUACACAGAAUAGUGCCAGAGCAUGUUCUCUGAAGAUUUGAGCACCAUUCAAAAGUGUUAGAUGUGGACUUGAGAUGAUGCAUGGAGGACGGAUGAGGAUUGUGUUUGUAGGUGCAACAAUGGAGUCCUGUUUACAUGGAAAAUAUAAUCCCUGCACCAAAUGAAGGAAACGGUGAAGCUGGCACACAAAGUCCUUCCUAUAAUUUCGGAGGAAAAGGU